rnacentral:lncRNA from 1 species
UCGCCCUUGGGGAGGGGAAGGCCGAACUGCAGCAAUUGAAGAUCCAACUGGUACACGAGCAGCGGGUAGUCAAGGACGUGGAGGCAGAAUUUGAGGUCUUGAGAAAAAGGCAUCGAGAGGCAGAGAACGAAAGCCAGCGACUUCAUCGGAGGUAUGAUAAACACUUAAUUUAAGUCAUUUAAAGCAGAAAAUUAUAUUU